rnacentral:rRNA from 1 species
UGGGAACGUACCCUUUGGUUCGGAACAACCCAGGGAAACUUGGGCUAAUACCGGAUAAGUCCGUAAGGAGAAAGAUUUAUCGCCAAAGGAUCGGCCCGCGUCUGAUUAGCUAGUUGGUGAGGUAAUGGCUCACCAAGCCUACGAUCGAUAGCUGGUCUGAGAGGAUGAUCAGCCACACUGGGACUGAGAUACGGCCCAGACUCCUACGGGGAGCAG